CAGGAAAUAGUUUAAAGAAAAUAUUAACUUUGGGAGUUAAAGACGAAGAAUUUUUCUUUUUUUCUGA
rnacentral:tRNA from 1 species